GAUCCUGGCUCAGGAUGAACGCUAGCUACAGGCUUAACACAUGCAAGUCGAGGGGCAGCAUGGUCUUAGCUUGCUAAGGCCGAUGGCGACCGGCGCACGGGUGAGUAACGCGUAUCCAACCUGCCUUACACUCUUGGACAGCCUUCUGAAAGGGAGAUUAAUACAAGAUGUUAUCAUGGGUAAGCAUUUUCGCAUGAUUAAAGGUUACCGUGUAGAUGGGAGUGCGUUCCU
rnacentral:rRNA from 1 species